rnacentral:tRNA from 1 species
CAGGAGUUAGUUUAAUAAAUAUUAGCCUUGGAUGCUAAAGAUAAGAGUGUAUACUCUUACACCUGA